GCUUGGUUGGCUCAGUCGGUUAAGCGUCUGAUUUUGGUUCAGGUCAGGAUCUCAUGGUUCGUGGGUUCGAGCCCCGUGUCGGGCU
rnacentral:tRNA from 1 species